rnacentral:RNase_MRP_RNA from 2 species
CCGCCGAACGAAGAAGUCGCUAUCGCAGCUCACGAACAGGGAGACUCACGUCUCCUACCAUCAUGCUGUGGGGAAAGUCCCCGGAGAAGAUAGAGUUAAUGCCUUGUCUGUUGUAGGGAAAGCUGCUGCCUUUAAGCACGGCAGUCCUAGACAAGGAAAGGCGUAGACACCCUGUGCUUCGCGUUUAUCGUGUCGUGCUUGUCUAUGCUGCUCUGUCGCCUUCGUCCUCUAUUAUUGCCGUCAAAUGUCCCCAGAGCGAAGAUACGAGCUUUGAAGGUCGUGGUCGUGGUGGGGGCGGAGGCAACCCGUUGCUCAUAGACAUAGUUAUGCGGCUGCGGUCUUUGGCCGUAACAGAAUGGGGCUUACUCUUGCGUCGGCG